rnacentral:rRNA from 1 species
UACGUAGGGGGCAAGCGUUGUCCGGAAUUAUUGGGCGUAAAGCGCGUGUAGGCGGCUUUGCAAGUCGGGUGUGAAAGCCCUCAGCUCAACUGAGGAAGUGCGCCCGAAACUGCAGAGCUUGAGUACCGGAGAGGAUGGCGGAAUUCCCCAAGUAGAGGUGAAAUUCGUAGAUAUGGGGAGGAACACCGGUGGCGAAGGCGGCCAUCUGGACGGUCACUGACGCUGAGACGCGAAAGCGUGGGUAGCAAACAGG